UAGAACAAAAACCCACCGUGAAACAAUCAUAAAUUACCGUUUUAUUUCUCAGAUUCACUGCUUUGUUCUCACUGACGGCGCUUUCUCUUUGUUCAAUCCAUAGCCCGCUCGACCAUCGCUUCUCUCGCUCUCCCUCUCGGCUCGUUGAGCUGAGCGGCCAUCUUUGAAUGCUGUGUGUUUACAGACAGGAACCCACAACUUGUUUUCUUUUUGUGUAACUUUAUUUUUACGGUAACUUGAUGUGUGGGUCGGCACGGAAGCUAACGUUAGCUCUAAUGCUACUUUCACUGCUCUGUGCACAUGUGGAAAUUGUGCAAGGAUGCCUAGAGAACCGGAAAAUAUAUGCUGCUUGGAGACACCACAGGAGCUUAAAAACCACCACGGUGAAUCUACCAAGAGGCCGAGGCAAAAUUGGAG